CAACAGGUGCACCUCUUCACAUCACAGUGGGGAGGGGGGGGCAGUGUGGAGGACAUAUUGACAUUUUCUUUUUUUUACUGACCUGAUGGGAUCCUUUCACUUGGCUUUGUUGUCAAUAAAUUGUUAAUAUUAUAGGACUAUAUGAUUGAAUGGACAUGUGAAAUACAAGUUUGUGGUAAACAAUGAACACAGGUGGUAUGUGGUGUUCUAUAAAAACAAGAGUACACUACCAAAUUAAUUGGAACGAAAACACAGAAACCUUGGAUGGCUGCCUGGUAUGUGCACUGGACUGUUGCCUUGAUGGUCCUGGAUUUGAACUCUGCGCGCUGCCAUCCCCCGCCAUCCUAGGUUUGGACUAGAAUGUAAUAAUUUUCACUUCUGAAGGGACAUCCAAUGCAUAUAAAACAACAUCCCAAAUGAAAAUGUUUAUCAGAUUCCUUGUUUUUGAUUUAUCAAAUGGUCAAAAUAAGUUGAAGGCCUAUAACCCAACGCUGUUGAACUGGUUGGCAUCCUCUAUAAUCCACGAAAGGUUGACGAUGGCUUAUCAACUUGGUAGAGGAUGUUACAGGUAAAUGCAUUUGUUUCAUUUCAUCUGGAGGGUGCAUAAUGCAAGCCAUUAGUUGCAACAUUUAUCCUGCAUCGAACUUAAACAGCAAUGGAAAAAAAAAAAGAGUUGUUCUUAAUGGCCAUCGAAAGGAAAAAAGCCGCUAUUAGUUUUGUGUGGUAUGUCUGUCCGUCCGUCCCUUUUAGAUGUAAAAAAAAACAACAACUAGACAAGAUAUUGAAGAUCCGACAUCAUAUUUUAGAUCGUUCAAAGUUCUGAUGCAACGGCCCCUAUUUUUCUUCUGAAAACAAGAAGUUUAAUUUUAAAAUUAACUAUGAAAGCAGGGUUUGUUUGUUGUUGUUUUUUUCCAUAAAAAUCAAACUGUUUUUACAACUACUCACUAUUAGUUAGGCCAAGGUUGUUUUUUUCUAAUGUAAUGUUAUAAAAAUAGUAUUACAAAAUUAAGUAUUUUUAGUCAUACAUGCUGCUUACAUUUUAAAUACAAUGUUUAGUCCUACUUAAUGUGUAUAGGCUACAAGACGAAUAUAAUUAAAGAAAAAAAAAAUUAAGAAGCAGCUUUCAUCCGUAGGCCUACUAUACAAUAAACAUCAAUUGUUUUCUUCCUUAAGGCUUUGAACGAAAGAUUUGGCUUUAAAAAAAAACAAAUCAAUUAGAUUCAAUAACAUCAAUUAGUGUAGGCUACGUUCACAUUGAACCAUAUUUUCAUACCCAUCAAUUCAUUGAAUACAUAUGAAUAUUAACUGUAGGCUAUAAUAAUAAUAGGACUAACAUUAAUAAAUCUCUGUAGCCUGCGGUAUCAAGAGGUCGCAGUCUGACCAACAAUACAAUAGCUUCGGCAACACUUUCAAAACGUACGUCUCUUCUUCUUGUUCUAUUGACGAGGAUAAGGUUGUGGUUGUUGAUAGUUUGUAGUUCAUAGUUUCUGAUAUUCAUGCCGAAAAUAUUUAUACCUGCCCGAGUGGACAACUUCGUGGGCUGAUUUUGAUCUUUGUAACCUUGUUUUUUUUUUUUUUGUUCUUUCAAUCACAGCAGAAAUGACAUUCUCUAAAUUGCCCACUCAAUUGUAGGUUCAAUGCUACAAAAUUGAGAUUUAAAUCUAUCACACUCUACGGCUUGUAAACGAUUUAAGCCAGGUCAGGUUGGGUAGAUCUUGGUCAACGAAUGGUCAGGAUAGCAUUCAAAUCAUAUUUUGUAUAUAAGUGCGCGGAUCAACAAAUAAAAUAUUCCAAAGAAAGUUGAAAACAUCUAGAAAAGUUUUGUCACUUUUCUAUGCUCAGCUUAUUGUCUAAAUUAAGUUUAAUGUUAAUAGCUUUUGGCCAAGCUACUUAAGUAGGCCCCUACUUGUCCUAUCAUAUAUUAUUGAUGUCCUAUCAUACAUUAUUGAUGUCCUAUCAUAUAUUAUUGACGUCCUAUCAUAUGUUAUUGAUGUCCUAUCAUAUAUUAUUGAUGUCCUAUCAUAUAUUAUUAAUGUCCUAUCAUAUAUUAUUGAAGUCAGUUUUGUUUACUUCAUUUGAGUGAGUUUGAAGAGAGUAUAAGCUCUAUUCGCAUCCAUUUCAA